UACGGAGGGUGCGAGCGUUGUCCGGAAUCACUGGGCGUAAAGGGCGCGUAGGCGGCGCGGGGAGUCAACGGUGAAAGCUCGGCGCUCAACGCCGAGUCGGCCGUCGAUACUCCCGUGCUUGAGCACUGUAGAGGCAGGUGGAAUUCCGGGUGUAGCGGUGGAAUGCGUAGAGAUCCGGAAGAACACCGGUGGCGAAGGCGGCCUGCUGGGCAGUGACUGACGCUGAGGCACGAAAGCGUGGGGAGCAAACAGG
rnacentral:rRNA from 1 species